UACGGAGGGUGCGAGCGUUGUCCGGAAUCACUGGGCGUAAAGGGCGCGUAGGCGGCCUGUUGAGGUCUGCGGUGAAAGCCCGGCGCUCAACGCCGGGUCGGCCGUGGAUACUCUCGGGCUUGAGCUUACUAGAGGCAGAGGGAAUUCCGGGUGUAGCGGUGGAAUGCGUAGAGAUCCGGAAGAACACCGGUGGCGAAGGCGGUCUGCUGGGGUAAUGCUGACACUGAGGCGCGACAGCGUGGGGAGCAAACAGG
rnacentral:rRNA from 1 species